AUUGAACGCUGGCGGCAGGCCUAACACAUGCAAGUCGAGCGGAUGAAGGGAGCUUGUUCCUGGAUUCAGCGGCGGACGGGUGAGUAAUGCCUAGGAAUCUGCCUGGUCGUGGGGGAUAACGUCCGGUAACGGGCGCUAAUACCGCAUCCGUCUUGAGGGAGAAAGUGGGGGAUCUUCGGACCUCACGCUAUCAGAUGAGCCUAGGUCGGAUUAGCUAGUUGGUGGGGUAAAGGCCUACCAAGGCGACGAUCCGUAACUGGUCUGAGAGGAUGAUCAGUCACACUGGAACUGAGACACGGUCCAGACUCCUACGGGAGGCAGCAGUGGGGAAUAUUGGACAAUGGGCGAAAGCCUGAUCCAGCCAUGCCGCGUGUGUGAAGAAGGUCUUCGGAUUGUAAAGCACUUUAAGUUGGGAGGAAGGGCAGUAAGUUAAUACCUUGCUGUUUUGACGUUACCAACAGAAGAAGCACCGGCUAACUUCGUG
rnacentral:rRNA from 1 species